rnacentral:tRNA from 1 species
AGACCGAUAGCUCAGUGGUAGAGCACCGCAUUGCGGUUGCCCCGGUUCGAUUCCGGGUCGGUCAC